rnacentral:rRNA from 1 species
CAGCAGCCACGGUAAUACGUAGGUGGCAAGCGCUGUCCGGAAUUAUUGGGCGUAAAGGGCUCGCAGGCGGUUUCUUAAGUCUGAUGUGAAAGCCCACGGCUCAACCGUGGAGGGUCAUUGGAAACUGUUAAACUUGAGUGCAGGAGAGAAAAGUGGAAUUCCUAGUGUAGCGGUGAAAUGCGUAGAGAUUAGGAGGAACACCAGUGGCGAAGGCGGCUUUUUGGCCUGUAACUGACACUGAGGCGCGAAAGCGUGGGGAGCAAACAGGAUUAGAUACCCCAGUAGUCCCUGUCUCUUAUAA